rnacentral:rRNA from 1 species
CAUCCUACGGGGGGCAGCAGUGAGGAAUAUUGGUCAAUGGGCGAGAGCCUGAACCAGCCAAGUCGCGUGAGGGAAGACGGCCCUACGGGUUGUAAACCUCUUUUGUCAGGGAGCAAGAACGGAUACGUGUAUCCGAGCGAGAGUACCUGAAGAAAAAGCAUCGGCUAACUCCGUGCCAGCAGCCGCGGUAAUACGGAGGAUGCGAGCGUUAUCCGGAUUUAUUGGGUUUAAAGGGUGCGUAGGCGGUUUGAUAAGUUAGAGGGGAAAUGUCGGGGCUCAACCCCGAAACUGCCUCUAAUACUGUU